AUUAGUCUUUGUGGCAUGAGGAGAAUCCCUACCGAUGGUUACAGUUCAUGACCCAUAUUUUAUAAUAUGGCUGAGUUAGUAAAAUUCUAAUAUCGACGGUUAAAGUUCAGAUGAGAAAAGACAUUU
rnacentral:ncRNA from 2 species